AGAACCGCGCGGCCACCGGUGAUUCGCUUUCGAACUUCCCGUUGGCGCGUAAACCCCAUGUCAGCCGCGCGUCGCUGUUUAUCCGCUGUUUAUUCGCCGAUGCGUUCGUUCCCGCGUCUCGUUCUCGUCGCGCGCCUCGUACCCUCGCGGCGGCUUCCUCCUCCUCCUUCUCCGUCGCGAUAUGUCCGCGUACGCGAUCUCGGACGCGCGGCGUCCUUGCGCUUGCCGCCGCCGCGUCACGAGAUGAAAAUACCGCCAUGGCUGGCGUUGCAGCGAGCCGCGUACCGUUUGUCGCGUGUCUACGGCCACCGUCCGGUCGAGAUCACGGGGCGACCGAGAUUCCCCGAUAUCUGUUCCGAGGGAGCCCGGCACGGCUCCCUUUAUCAGAAAAUCACUCCAAGUUCCUGUUGUCGCGGGAACAAAGGAACGAUUCCCCGUGGCUUGUAAAGAGCGCACGUUGUAAACACAAUUUAUGCAUUCUUGAUUGUUCCUAUCCGGUGUUUAUCCAAGCUUGACUUAUUAUCCUUUAUUCGGUAGAAGAGCAAUGUUUGUUACCUGUGCGUCGUUUUAAACGUUUAAAUAAUGUUGCAAAUAAUUUGACAAGUAUUACAAAAAUUAAAAAUAAUUAUGUCAAACAAUUAAGAUUAGUUUGAAAUUAUUUGCAAACAAUACCAUAGGUAGCAAGCUAAUGACAAUAACAUAGACUUGCUACUUCGGAUAAUGUUGAAUGACUCCAAGAUGGAUCCGUACAUCUUUAAAAACCUGUAGACAAUGGUCCUUAUUCAAAAUAUGUUUAAAAAUGACUGGCACCUACAUUAAAUCUGACAGGAACCAAGGACAAGAAGCCAUUGUAUUAAAAAGACUUUUACAACAGUUACAAAGCUGUUUUUUCUGACUGUAGCCAUUUUAUCUUUAUUGUUCAUUAGACAUAAAAGAAGGAUGACAAAGUACUCUAACAUUGUUAUAAGAGCAUACAUACCAAUGUGUCUAAAAAACACAUGAUAUUUUUAAGACGUCUUAUGUCUGAAUCACAUUAGUGAUUCGCGAUUGUAUUUGCAUUUGCAUCUUUUGACUAAUCAGAAAGGAGCUUUAUUUUAAUUGAUAGUGUGAUUUGGGCGUUUUGUCCAUCUUCACAUUGAACAUUAUCUGGAUUUAGAUUUAAAUUGUUCUGUCUUACUUCGAA